rnacentral:lncRNA from 1 species
CUUGGAUUGGAAUCCUGGAUCUGGGACUGGGAUCAUAGAUCUGGGACUGGGAUUGGGACUGGGAUCACUGAUCUGGGACUGGGAUCAUGGAUUUGGGACUGGGAUUGUUAUUCCUGGACUGGGAUUGUUAUUUCCCUACUGGGAUUGUUAUUCUGGGACUGAGAUCAUGGAUCCAGGAUUGGGAUUGUUAUUCCAGGACUGGGAUCACUGCUCUGGGACUGAGAUCAUGGAAUUGGGAUUGGGAUCUGGGACUGGGAUCGUGGAUCUGGGACUGGGAUCCCAGCUCUGGGAUGCAGCUCUGGGACUGGGAUCACUAUUUUCCUACUGGGAUUGUUAUUCCUGGACUGGGAUCACAGAUCUGGGAUCCCUGUUUUUGUACUGGGAUUGUUAUUUUGGGACUGGGAUCACUAUUUUCCUACUGGGAUUGUUAUUCCUGGACUGGGAUUAUCAUUUUCCUACUGGGAUUGUUAUUCCUGGACUGGGAUCCCAGCUCUGGGAUGCAGCUCCAGACUGGGAUCGCUAUUUUCAUACUGGGAUCGCUAUUUUCAUACUGGGAUUGUUAUUUUCAUACUGGGAUUGCUAUUUUCAUACUGGGAUUGUUAUUUUGGGACUGGGAUCAUGGAUUUGGGACUGGGAUGAAGGAUCUGGGACUGGGAUCCUGGAUCUGGGACUGGGAUCGCUAUUUUCAUACUGGGAUUGUUAUUUCUGGACUGGGAUCAUGGAUCCGGGAUUGGGAUCAUGGAUUUGGGACUGGGAUCCUGGAUCUGGGACUGGGAUCACAGUUUUGGGACUGGGACUGUUAUUUUCAUACUGGGAUCGAGGAUUUGGGACUGGGAUCACAGGACUGGGAUUGGGACUGGGAUCGGGACUGGGAUCCUGGAUCUGGGACUGGGAUCCCAGCUCUGGGAUG